ACUAGGAGCUUUAAAUAUUCACUGAUGACUAAAAAACAAAAAAUAUUUUUGAAAUUCGAAGUGAUUGUUAACUACAUUUUGCUGCUGGCUAAACGGCACAAGGCCCAAAAGGAGUGGGGGCCAGUCAAUUAGAUCAACCCCAGUAUGCAACUGGUACUUAAUUUAUCAACCUCCAGAAGGAUGAAAGGCAAAGUUAACCUUGGUGGAAUUUGGUUCACAUUUAGAUAAUGUUCCCCUGUCUGUUUUGGCAUGGUUUCUACAGCUGGGUACCCUUCCUAACACCAACCACUUUACAGAGUGUACUGAGUGCUUUUAUGCAGCACUGGCAUGGGUGUUUUUUUUUACAUGGCACCAGCACAUUUAAAAAAAUUUCUAUAAAUGUAAAAUCUACCACUAGCAAAUUAGUAAUAUUUUGCAUCUAAUAAAAACUAAAUAAUUUAUCUAAAGCAGCCAAGAAUGCUGCAUAUAAUAUCUAAGUUGAACCAAUCAAUCGCCUACAUCACGAAAUUCAAUCAUAUUUUUAUAUAUAUUACCUCAGCCACUAACUGUUUAAAAAUAUUUUGAUAAGGUCAAUACUACAAAUAUCUAAGUUACAUGAAUACUUUAAUAUGAAAAAUUAUUGAAGUCGGCAUUAUAUUUUACAUCAUAUACGAUGCAUAUAACAACUCAAAUCACCUUUAUAAUGCAAGAGAAAACUUGGUUUAUGUGCAACAACUACUCCACAUUCAUAAAUUUCUUUCAUGAUACACAAUUAUAAGUUGAAUUGACUUUUCAUAUUAACAUAGAUUUAUAUACAUCAAAAAUAUUUAGAUCAGAGAUGCCUUCAAUGUUGUUGAAAAUAGUAUCUAACAUUAACAUAGUUCUUUAACAAGAAUACUGAAUGAAGAAAAUUAAGUUAAAGCCUCAAGAUUUUCAUAAUCUCCCAACAGGAAUGUGCAUGGACAUAUUACAUUUAACUGUUUUUACCUCCAAUUAUCUGAAUGCAAAUUGCUUUACAUUCAAUUGCUCAAUCAACCCCAAACCAACAGGAGUGAUAAAUAAAAUCAUAAAUGUAUUACUGUCUGAUGAUUUGCAAAUUUGAAGUUCCUGGGUUUGUGUAUGUGAGCCAUUUUUCUCUCUUUCCCCCCUAAAUACAUUCAAAUACAUUAACAUAGUUUGCUUAAAUACACAAUGUAACAUUAGUAGCACAGUUUACAUAAUUUCAGAUCCAUGGCCUGUUAUUCUUAACCUUGUUACAGAAAAAAAAAAUCUACAUUUUAAACAAUAUCUGAUAUCUUCCUUUGAGUCAUUUUACCUUUUAAAAAGCAAAAUAGCAUGUACUUGAAAAUUUUCUUAAGCAAAAUCUAUACAACUUUCAAUUUCAAAUAAAAUGAAGAAUCUAUAUAGAUUUC